UUUACAGCGAUGAUAAAGAUAUAGUACAAUUACUCUUAGGUUUUUAGAGAACUUGUGGUUGGUGAAAACAAGUACCGGGGCAAAUUGGAAUUGGGCUUUGGAGCUGGGAAAUUUAUUAAAGCGAUCUUACAAAGAAUGUAAGAUAAUUAGGGUGGCACCGCGGUUCAUUCGUCCCUGUU
rnacentral:ncRNA from 1 species